rnacentral:lncRNA from 1 species
GUCUCACAUUCUCUUUCUCCCCUGGCCACUCUACAGGAAGAGGUCUACUAGUGAAAAGGACCACAUGGAUCCAUGGCUGUACAGGUCUACCUCCCCAAGAAGACUCUUCCCCCAACAUCUACUUCUGGGUUGUGCCCCUGGAAUCUUCUUCAACACCCUCCAGUGCCCACUUCAUUACUGUUCACCACCUGGAUCUCCAGGGCCACAAACCUAAUACAAGGCUUGGCCUAUUUUCCUGGCAUCUACUCUCCUUUGAAUGAAUAACUCCACCAUCAAGCCUCCCACACAUGACUCUCAAUAUCAGGUAGAGAGACUCCAGUGAUUGGGUCUUCCAAACCACAAUCACACUUGAGAACUGUUCUCAUUCUAGAAGUUAAUUUUCAGCAGGCAAUUCUUUAAGAAUUAUUUAAGAAUGUCUCCACAAAAGGGCUUCAUGAAGAGAGUCAGAGUCAGCUUUGAUCCUUCAAGUCAAUGUGAAGUGCCCAAUGAGUGCUCUGUGUAGUGGUCCAAGGAGUGAACAUUAAACCAAGUGAAAGGGAUCUUGGCAAGAUACAUGCACACACAUAUCUGCACUUCCGUGCUUAUUGCAGCACUAUUGCGAUUUAAUAUGAGUUUUCCCCCAAAAGCCCGUGUGUGAGACAAUGCAAGAAAGUUCAAAGGUGAAAUGAAUAGGUUAUGAGAGCUUUAACCUAGUCAGUGCAUUAAUCCACUGAUAGGGAUUAAUGGGAUGGUAACUAUAGGCAGGUAGGAUGUAGCCGGAGGAUGUGGGUCAUUAAAGGUGUACCUUUGGGGGGGGGGUUAUAUUUUUCCUUCAUUGAGUGAAAUGCUCUCUCUGCUUCCUGGUGCCAUGUCCUGAGCUGCUUUCCUCCACCACACCCUUCUGCCAUGAUGUUCUGUCUCACCUUAGGGCUGAGAUCUCUGAAAAUGUGUCAAAUAAACUUUUCCUCCUCUAAAAUUAUUUUUUAAAUUAGCCAGACACAGAGAGAAAAAUACUGUAUAUCACUUAUAUGCAGAAAUAAACAAACAAAACAAAUAUACAGAGAUAGAGAACAAAGAUGGGGGGUGGUGGUAAGAAUGGGGAGAUGUAGGUCAGAGGACACAGUUGCAUACAUGAAGGAUGAACAAGUCUGAGAUCUCUCAUACAAUAUGAAUAUUACAGGUAAUAAAAUGGUACUACCUGUGGGAUUCAUGCGGCAAUUUUUAGCUGCUCUUGUCACAAAAGCAAAAUAAAAUGGACAACUGUAUAGAUGAUAGAUAUAUUAAUUUUCUCUACUGUAGUAUCCCAGUAGAUUAUAUGUAUCCAGAAGAUUAUGUUUUAUAUUAAGUGUAUAAAAUAAAAUUUACUUAGAGUUAUAUACAUGCAAAAUAAAGUGCUAUUUUUAAAUUACACAUUUCCACGUUGCUCACCUAUGCUAUGAUGCUUCAGUACAGGACCUCUCUCCUUCCAGAGGCCAAAGUGCCCAGAUACUUAUCUUAUAAUUGCCAAGAGUCCAGAAUAGCCAGGAAUAACCACCAGAAACUUCCCAAUUAAACAGAAGAGAAUUUCAGCAUAAUGAGGGAUGUGGUAUCUGUACAAUUUUAAGAGUAGGCAAUAUCCUCUCUUUCUAGAAAGCAAAGAAGAAGGUUAUUUUCUAACUCCAGGGUCAUACAAUGGGUCAGACUCACCAAUGGCUGUCACUUCCUUAGUCUGGCUUGACCAUAUGGUCUUACAGUUGAGCCACUCUCCUGUAGUUUUUGUACAUGUAAAAUAUCUGGGAAAAAAAUUCUUACUUUGUACGUAUAACACUAAGAAAAAAAAAUGCUUACUUUAAAGGAUGAUCAUGUGGAUUGUUUAAGAUUGCUAUGGCUUCGUUUAUGUUUGGGGGAUGUGUCCUAAAAUAAAGUAUCAGACCUGAAAAGGACCUGAAAAUGCAUUCUUUUUAAAAAUUUUUAUUAAUAUUUGGGGGGGGGUACUAGGGAUUGAACCUAGAGGCACUCUUCCCUUGAGCUGUAUCCUAACCCUUUUUUAUUUUUAUUUUGUGACAGGAUCUUGCUAAUUUGCUUAGGCUGGCC